rnacentral:rRNA from 1 species
AGCGAACGCUGGCGGCAGGCUUAACACAUGCAAGUCGAGCGGGCAUCUUCGGAUGUCAGCGGCAGACGGGUGAGUAACACGUGGGAACGUACCCUUCGGUUCGGAACAACUCUGGGAAACUUGAGCUAAUACCGGAUACGCCCUUAUGGGGAAAGGUUUACUGCCGAAUGAUGGGCCCGCGUCUGAUUAGCUAGUUGUCGGGGUAACGGCCUACCAAGGCGCCGAUCAGUAGCUGGUCAGAGAGGCUGAUCAGCCACACUGGGACUGAGACACGGCACAGACUCCUCCGGGAGGCAGCAGUGGGGAAUAUUGGACAAUGGGGGCAAGCAUGAUGCAGCCAUGCCGCGUGAGUGAUGAAGGCAUUAGGGUUGUAAAGCUCUUUUGUCCGGGAAGAUAAUGACGGUACCGGAAGAAUAAGCCCCGGCUAACUUCGUG